rnacentral:sRNA from 1 species
GAGAACCUCCGGGGGCAAGGGGUUCGACUCGAGCGGAGCGAGAGAACGUUGCGUCAGCAACGGCCCGCAGGGCGAGCCACGUAGUGGCGAGU